rnacentral:rRNA from 1 species
AACGUAGGUGGCGAGCGUUAUCCGGAUUCAUUGGGCGUAAAGAGCUUGUAGGUGGCCAGGUAAGUUGGACGUGAAAACGCCGGGCUUAACUCGGCGAGGCCGUUCAAUACUGCCAGGCUAGAGGGCGUCAGAGGGAAGUGGAAUUCCUGGUGUAGCAGUGAAAUGCGUAGAUAUCAGGAGGAACAUCCGUGGCGAAGGCGGCUUCCUGGGGCGCCCCUGACCACUGAGAACGCGAA